rnacentral:rRNA from 1 species
GACGAACGCUGGCGGCGUGCUUAACACAUGCAAGUCGAACGGAAAGGCCCUGCUUUUGUGGGGUGCUCGAGUGGCGAACGGGUGAGUAACACGUGAGUAACCUGCCCUUGACUUUGGGAUAACUUCAGGAAACUGGGGCUAAUACCGGAUAGGAUCUCCUGCUGCAUGGUGGGGGUUGGAACGUUUCGGCGGUUGGGGAUGGACUCGCGGCUUAUCAGCUUGUUGGUGGGGUAGUGGCUUACCAAGGCUUUGACGGGUAGCCGGCCUGAGAGGGUGACCGGCCACAUUGGGACUGAGAUACGGCGCAGACUCCUACGGGAGGCAGCAGUGGGGAAUAUUGCACAAUGGGCGGAAGCCUGAUGCAGCAACGUCGCGUGCGGGAUGACGGCCUUCGGGUUGUAAAACGCUUUCGCCUGUGACGAAGCGUGAGUGACGGUAAUGGGUAAAGAAGCACCGGCUAACUACGUG